rnacentral:rRNA from 1 species
GCCUACCAUGGUGGUAACGGGUAACGGGGUGUUAGGGCACGACACCGGAGAGGGAGCCUGAGAAACGGCUACCACAUCCAAGGAUGGCAGCAGGCGCGCAAAUUACCCAAUCCCGACACGGGGAGGUAGUGACAAUAAAUAACAAUACGGGGUUCUUUAGGAUCUCGUAAUUGGAAUGAGUACAAUUUAAAUCUCUUAACGAGGAACAAUUGGAGGGCAAGUCUGGUGCCAGCAGCCGCGGUAAUUCCAGCUCCAAUAGCGUAUAUUAAAGUUGUUGCAGUUAAAAAGCUCGUAGUUGAAUUUCGGGGUUAGUAGGUUGGUCAUGCCUCUGGUAUGUACUGGUCUCACUGAUUCCUCCUUCCUUAUGAACCGUAAUGCCAUUAAUUUGGUGUUGCGGGGAAUUUGGACUGUUACUUUGAAAAAAUUAGAGUGUUUAAAGCAAGCUAACGCUUGAAUACAUUAGCAUGGAAUAAUGAAAUAGGACGUUCGAUCUUAUUUUGUUGGUUUCUAGGAUUGACGUAAUGAUUAAUAGGGAUAGUUGGGGGCAUUAGUAUUCAAUUGUCAGAGGUGAAAUUCUUGGAUUUAUUGAAGACUAACUACUGCGAAAGCAUUUGCCAAGGAUGUUUUCAUUAAUCAAGAACGAAAGUUAGGGGAUCGAAGACGAUCAGAUACCGUCGUAGUCUUAACCAUAAACUAUGCCGACUAGGGAUCGGAUGA